rnacentral:lncRNA from 1 species
UAGAAGAAAUGUCCUUUUAGGGAAAAAUAAUAGUUUAAAUCAGGCUGUUACAUUCAUUUAUGGAUCAGUCCAAUUCACCUUAUUCAGGUCUGCAUCUUCUCUCCUUUGAAUAGCUAUGAUCAUCCUGUAACUGCUGAUGCUGCCUCCUUGCUCUGCUCCAUUACCUUACCCCAAGCCUUCAAAGUCAUCUCCUACUCUACUCCAGGGUAAUUUUUCUAAAAUGCAAAUACUGUUGUUUGGCAGCUCUACUUAAAAGCUUUUAGUGACUUUCCAUUUUCUGUGGAAUAAGUCUGAAAGUAUAUAGCAUUAGAACCUUUAUAUUCUACCCCUCCUACUUUAUGUCUUACGAUUUCCCAUUGUUAAUUUUAGCUUCACAUAGUUUUUCUAAUUUAUAUCUCCAAAUCUUUUUUUGUUUUGUUUUUUGAAACAGAGUUUCAUUCUUGUUGCCCAGGCUGGAGUACAAUGGCGUGAUCUCGGCUCACUGAAACCUCUGCCUCCCGGGUUCAUUCAAGUGAUUCUCCUGCCUCAGCCUCCUGAGUAGCUGGGAUUAUAGGCAUGUGCCACCACACCCAGCGGCUAAUUUUGUAUUUUUAGUAGAGAUGGGGUUUCUCCAUGUUGGUUGCCUCGGCCUCCCAAAGUGCUAGGAUUACAGACGUGGGCCACCAUGCCUGGCCUCUAUCUCCAAGUCUUUGUAUAUGCCUGACAAACUGCUAUUCCAUCUUGUAGAGCUAAAAUCAAUUUUUUUUUCAUUUUUGGGAAGCCUCCUCUACAUAUCUCCACCUUCUAACUCCAAGAAGUCCAACAAGAAGACAGAUGUUGACUUCCUCCAGCGUUGCUGAUUCACCCCUUCCCCGAUCUUUGAUUUGGGUUGUGUUCCUCCCUAGCAACUUUUCUGAUGUGUUAAUGUCAUUCAUUCUCAGCACAUGACUGACCCAGCAUCUGUUUUUUUCCUAAUGAAUGAAGUACUGGGAGAGAAGGGUAGGUAUUUACUAUUUCCACUAUAUAACAGACUUAUCUUUAGGGAGUGAUUGUACAGAUAUCAAGAGGGAGAAAGAGAAUGAAUUUAGUGGAGGUUUUUGAGUUGUUUGUAUAAAACAUUGAGCCCAUUGAGCAGUGCUUGCAAAUGAGAGAAAUGGUUAUGUACACAGUUGUCUCCUGAAGAAGAGAGAGCACCAUCUACU